GAUGAACGCUGGCGGCGUGCCUAAUACAUGCAAGUCGAGCGAACGGACGAGAAGCUUGCUUCUCUGAUGUUAGCGGCGGACGGGUGAGUAACACGUGGAUAACCUACCUAUAAGACUGGGAUAACUUCGGGAAACCGGAGCUAAUACCGGAUGAUAUUUUGAACCGCAUGGUUCAAAAGUGAAAGACGGUCUUGCUAUCACUUAUAGAUGGAUCCGCGCUGCAUUAGCUAGUUGGUAAGGUAACGGCUUACCAAGGCAACGAUGCAUAGCCGACCUGAGAGGGUGAUCGGCCACACUGGAACUGAGACACGGUCCAGACUCCUACGGGAGACAGCAGUAGGGAAUCUUCCGCAAUGGGCGAAAGCCUGACGGAGCAACGCCGCGUGAGUGAUGAAGGUCUUCGGAUCGUAAAACUCUGUUAUUAGGGAAGAACAUAUGUGUAAGUAACUGUGCACAUCUUGACGGUACCUAAUCAGAAAGCCACGGCUAACUACGUG
rnacentral:rRNA from 1 species